rnacentral:lncRNA from 1 species
GGAGCAGCAGGCGGUGGCUGGGACGGCAGCACAGAGAGACAGCCCGGCACAGGCUCCGCUCAGAGCCUCAGGAUAUGGGGAGGCUUCUACAGAUGACCAGCUUGGUGGCAUCAUCGUCCCCACCUGGAGGUGUUUCUGGGCUGGAACAGAGACACACCCCAAGACAUCCCAAGUUCCUCUCUAAGGAACAAUCUCCAGUUCCUUGGCAGGUUGCUAAUAAAUAUUUCCAGUAGGAAGGAGACCUUAUCUGGAACCAGGAGGCGUGUCUGUAAGAAACUCUUAUGAAGUUGUCGGGGUUCAAGUUGGCCUUCCUGUUGUUCAACCUGGUGGAGAAUGUUCCUGUGGACCUUGGCAGCAAGUCAGCAUUCUUCGUUGGCAUGGAGUCAUAGGAAAAAGAGAUGCUCUUGUCUUCCUCAGCCUGCGUCAUCCUGGAAGAGACACCUCAACCCAGCCAGACUCCAGAGGAGUCCUGGGGGCUCUGCUGACCACUGCAGUGCCUCCACCAGAAAAAUGUUAGGUGACAACGUUGCAGGUGGAUAGAAACCUCCAUCCCUGAGUGAGCGAGGGACGAGGGGAGCCCAGGGAAGUGCCUGGCUCUGCCUCCUCAGUCUGAUCCUCUUGAAGCUGCCAGGUCACUGCUGAUUUGCCUUCUGGUUGAAGGCAUUGUCAGGAUGAGAAGGAAGUGAGUGGCACACUCCGACAGUGCCACGGGGCAAGGACAGGUGUGGCAACGUGGAAGACUCCUGUGAAACUCACUGAGAUGCUAGAGGGAGGAGAAGGGGUGGGGUAAGGAAAAGUGGCUGGACAAACUUGGAUUUCCUCAUGUUAUCAAAGGAGUCUCCAUCAUGCUGGCCCCUGGGCACAUCUGCUCACCUCCUUCCCCUGAUUCCUGCGCUGCAGCCACCAGGGCCAGCCCCUUCCCAGCUGACUUCCAGACCAGCCGGCUCCUGCCCUCACCGCCUCCUUGCACUCAGGCACUGGCAGCAGCAUCUUUGCAGCCAGCUCCUCCUUGAGCCUUCAGCUCCU